rnacentral:rRNA from 1 species
AUACGGAGGAUGCAAGCGUUAUCCGGAUUCAUUGGGUUUAAAGGGUGCGCAGGCGGAGAGAUAAGUCAGUGGUGAAAAACUGCCGCUCAACGGUAGUCUUGCCAUUGAUACUGUCUUUCUUGAGUAUGGAUGAGGUAGGCGGAAUGUGCAGUGUAGCGGUGAAAUGCAUAGAUAUUGCACGGAACACCAAUUGCGAAGGCAGAUUACUGGACCAUGACUUACGCUCAGGCUCGAAAGCGUGGGGAUCAAACAGGAUUAGAUACCCUGGUAGUCCACGCAGUAAACGAUGUUCACUCGCUGUUUGCGAUAUACUGUAAGCGGCUUAGUUAAAGCAUUAAGUGAACCACCUGGGGAGUACGAUCGCAAGGUUGAAACUCAAAUGAAUUGACGGGG